rnacentral:rRNA from 1 species
AACGAACGCUGGCGGCAGGCCUAACACAUGCAAGUCGAGCGAGAAGGGUUCUUCGGGACCUGGGCAGCGGCGGACGGGUGAGUAACGCGUGGGAAUAUACCUUUUGGUGGGGGACAACAGUUGGAAACGACUGCUAAUACCGCAUACGCCCUUCGGGGGAAAGAUUUAUCGCCAAAAGAUUAGCCCGCGUAAGAUUAGAUAGUUGGUAAGGUAACGGCUUACCAAGUCUACGAUCUUUAGCUGGUCUGAGAGGAUGAUCAGCCACACUGGAACUGAGACACGGUCCAG